rnacentral:rRNA from 1 species
GAUGAACGCUGGCGGUGUGCCUAAUACAUGCAAGUCGAGCGAACAGACGAGGAGCUUACUCCUCUGACGUUAGCGGCGGACGGGUGAGUAACACGUGGAUAACCUACCUAUAAGACUGGGAUAACUUCGGGAAACCGGAGCUAAUACCGGAUAACAUGUUGAACCGCAUGGUUCAACAGUGAAAGACGGUCUUGCUGUCACUUAUAGAUGGAUCCGCGUCGCAUUAGCUAGUUGGUAAGGUAACGGCUUACCAAGGCAACGAUGCGUAGCCGACCUGAGAGGGUGAUCGGCCACACUGGAACUGAGACACGGUCCAGACUCCUACGGGAGGCAGCAGUAGUGAAUCUGCCGCAAUGGGCGAAAGCCUGACGGAGCAACGCCGCGUGAGUGAAGAAGGUCUUCGGAUCGUAAAACUCUGUUAUUAGGGAAGAACAAAUGUGUAAGUAACUAUGCACGUCUUGACGGUACCUAAUCAGAAAGCCACGGCUAACUACGUG